rnacentral:rRNA from 1 species
UUUGCUCACACUCUAACCUGUUCAAAGGCGAAUCCUAACGACGUCAGCAAGCUGUCGUCACCAGGAUACCAAAGAGAAGCCAGGUGGAACAGCCCUAAAGGUAUUCGUUGCAAUCCUCACUCCCGAAGGAGCCACAUCCCUCCAGCCUUUUUAUGACGUUCGAAAUUGAUGUUAACCAGCGGACACGAAAGUGCUCCCCCUCAUCGUGAGACACAUGCUGUGGCGGUUUUGAGGCUCGCCACAACAUGGGUCUCCCGACGAGAGGGUUGAUUUCGCGCCAGCACGACUG